rnacentral:rRNA from 1 species
UACGGAGGGUGCAAGCGUUAUCCGGAUUCACUGGGUUUAAAGGGUGCGUAGGUGGGUUGGUAAGUCAGUGGUGAAAUCCCCGAGCUUAACUUGGGAACUGCCAUUGAUACUAUCAGUCUUGAAUACCGUGGAGGUCAGCGGAAUAUGUCAUGUAGCGGUGAAAUGCUUAGAUAUGACAUAGAACACCGAUAGCGAAGGCAGCUUGCUACACAGUCAUUGACACUGAGGCACGAAAGCGUGGGGAGCAAACAGG